AUUGAACGCUGGCGGCAGGCUUAACACAUGCAAGUCGAGCGGUAACACUUCGGGUGACGAGCGGCGGACGGGUGAGUAAUACAUAGGAAUCUGCCUAGUAGUGGGGGAUAACGUAGGGAAACUUACGCUAAUACCGCAUACAUCCUACGGGGGAAAGCAGGGGAUCUUCGGACCUUGCGCUAUUAGAUGAGCCUAUGUCGGAUUAGCUAGUUGGUGAGGUAAGGGCUCACCAAGGCGACGAUCCGUAGCUGGUCUGAGAGGAUGAUCAGCCACACUGGGACUGAGACACGACCCAGACUCCUACGGGAGGCAGCAGUGGGGAAUAUUGGACAAUGGGCGCAAGCCUGAUCCAGCCAUGCCGCGUGCGGGAAGAAGGCCUUCGGGUUGUAAACCGCUUUUGUCAGGGAAGAAAUCUUCUGGGUUAAUACCUCGGGAGGAUGACGGUACCUGAAGAAUAAAGCACCGGCUAACUACGUG
rnacentral:rRNA from 1 species